rnacentral:rRNA from 1 species
UACGGAGGGUGCGAGCGUUGUUCGGAAUCACUGGGCGUAAAGCGCGUGUAGGCGGUCCACUAAGUCUGAUGUGAAAGCCCGGGGCUCACCCCCGGAAGUGCAUUGGAAACUGGUGGACUCGAGUCCCGGAGAGGAGAGUAGAAUUCCUGGUGUAGCGGUGAAAUGCGUAGAUAUCAGGAGGAAUACCGGUGGCGAAGGCGGCUCUCUGGACGGUGACUGACGCUGAGACGCGAAAGCGUGGGGAG